CGAAUCAGAUGUUUCUUAAAAAGAGAACAUUUUUGUAGGUCUUCGCACAAGAUCUAUACCACACAGGACAUGAAGGUUGGACUCGUUAGACCACGUGCACAUUACAUGCUUGUAUCAAAUUUUCUUGAUCGUGAUUGGUGGAUCUUACAUCGGCAAUGCCAGGGAUGUUUUUGGACUAUGACCUGGUAUAGAGUAUCACUAUUUCCCGCAGCAACGUACUAAUCUUGGAAUUGGAAAGUGCUUGUCUCGGUGUUUUGAAGUUAAAAACCAGCCUUAAACNCAUUGAAUUGUUAUUUCAAAAGUAACUUUUGUGGUAAUGGAUGACUUACUUUCAAAGGAUUCAAUAUAUUGUGCAGGUUAUGGGUGCUGAAUUAUUGUAUGAUCCUUUGGUUUCUGCCGGAGUAAAGCACGAGGCUCGCACCUCACCAAGCUUGUUGACGAUGAGGUAAAUUCGAAACGAAACUGUCUUCCAAGAUUUGUAUUCCUUCAAGAAAUACUGAUAUAUACGGUAGAAAAAUAUAUACGACACAGCUGGAACANUGAAAAAAGGGACCGAUGGUUAAAGAAUGAAAAGAUUUAAGAGGAUUGUUAAUGAUCAUGUUUGUCGAUGGCGCUCGAUGAAGCCAAACAUGCUCGGCAUUAACCAUAUAGACAGAAAUUUGAAUUCGAAUUUGUUUUGAAACUUGUAUUGGCGGUUGUAAUGAUCUUCGACAGAUGGGUUUGAGUUNGUAGCUAUACAACAGUGAAAUGAUUUUGGUUUUGUGCAUAUCUGUGAAGACAUAAGACGGUUUUCAUCUGUGCCCGUAUUAUUAAAUACAAGUUUCAAAACAAACUCGAAAUAAGAUUCUGAAAAAUUGACUGAANCUUCUAGCCUUGAUAGGAACGUAUUAGCUGGUUUGACUGUNACUGAAAAAUGAAGAAGUAUGAGUAGAGAUUGUGUCAUGCAGUGAACGCAGGCGACAUCAAAUGUUGUUAUUAAAUAUACUUAUCAAUUCGGCAUUACUGGUUGUAACUAUAUUGCUGUAUUGUUAGUAAAUUAUCAUAUGUAAUAAACAUUUUUUUAACCAAA
rnacentral:lncRNA from 1 species